rnacentral:rRNA from 1 species
UACGAAGGGGGCUAGCGUUGCUCGGAAUCACUGGGCGUAAAGGGCGCGUAGGCGGGAUGGCAAGUCAGUCGUGAAAUCUCUCGGCUCAACCGAGAAACGUCGGCUGAUACUGCCGUUCUUGAGGGAUGCAGAGGAGACUGGAAUUCCCGGUGUAGCGGUGAAAUGUGUAGAGAUCGGGAGGAACACCGGUGGCGAAGGCGGGUCUCUGGGCAUUUCCUGACGCUGAGGCGCGAAAGCGUGGGGAGCAAACGGG